GCGUAGGCGAUGGAUAACAGGUUGAUAUUCCUGUACCACCUAUAAUCGUUUUAAUCGAUGGGGGGACGCAGUAGGAUAGGCGAAGCGUGCGAUUGGAUUGCACGUCUAAGCAGUAAGGCUGAGUAUUAGGCAAAUCCGGUACUCGUUAAGGCUGAGCUGUGAUGGGGAGAAGACAUUGUGUCUUCGAGUCGUUGAUUUCACACUGCCGAGAAAAGCCUCUAGAUAGAAAAUAGGUGCCCGUACCGCAAACCGACACAGGUAGUCAAGAUGAGAAUUCUAAGGUGAGCGAGCGAACUCUCGUUAAGGAACUCGGCAAAAUGACCCCGUAACUUCGGGAGAAGGGGUGCUCUUUAGGGUUAACGCCCAGAAGAGCCGCAGUGAAUAGGCCCAAGCGACUGUUUAUCAAAAACACAGGUCUCUGCUAAACCGUAAGGUGAUGUAUAGGGGCUGACGCCUGCCCGGUGCUGGAAGGUUAAGAGGAGUGGUUAGCUUCUGCGAAGCUACGAAUCGAAGCCCCAGUAAACGGCGGCCGUAACUAUAACGGUCCUAAGGUAGCGAAAUUCCUUGUCGGGUAAGUUCCGACCCGCACGAAAGGCGUAACGAUUUGGGCACUGUCUCAACGAGAGACUCGGUGAAAUCAUAGUACCUGUGAAGAUGCAGGUUACCCGCGACAGGACGGAAAGACCCCGUGGAGCUUUACUGUAGCCUGAUAUUGAAAUUCGGCACAGCUUGUACAGGAUAGGUAGGAGCCUUUGAAACGUGAGCGCUAGCUUACGUGGAGGCGCUGGUGGGAUACUACCCUAGCUGUGUUGGCUUUCUAACCCGCACCACUUAUCGUGGUGGGAGACAGUGUCAGGCGGGCAGUUUGACUGGGGCGGUCGCCUCCUAAAAGGUAACGGAGGCGCUCAAAGGUUCCCUCAGAAUGGUUGGAAAUCAUUCAUAGAGUGUAAAGGCAUAAGGGAGCUUGACUGCGAGACCUACAAGUCGAGCAGGGUCGAAAGACGGACUUAGUGAUCCGGUGGUUCCGCAUGGAAGGGCCAUCGCUCAACGGAUAAAAGCUACCCCGGGGAUAACAGGCUUAUCUCCCCCAAGAGUUCACAUCGACGGGGAGGUUUGGCACCUCGAUGUCGGCUCAUCGCAUCCUGGGGCUGUAGUCGGUCCCAAGGGUUGGGCUGUUCGCCCAUUAAAGCGGUACGCGAGCUGGGUUCAGAACGUCGUGAGACAGUUCGGUCCCUAUCCGUCGUGGGCGUAGGAAAUUUGAGAGGAGCUGUCCUUAGUACGAGAGGACCGGGAUGGACAUACCUCUGGUGUACCAGUUGUCGUGCCAACGGCAUAGCUGGGUAGCUAUGUGUGGACGGGAUAAGUGCUGAAAGCAUCUAAGCAUGAAGCCCCCCUCAAGAUGAGAUUUCCCAACUUCGGUUAUAAGAUCCCUC
rnacentral:rRNA from 1 species